rnacentral:rRNA from 1 species
AAGCUCGUAGUUGAAUUUCGGGGUCCUUCCAUUGGUCAGGCUAACAAGUCUGUACUAAUGGGUAGAAUUCCUACCUUCUGGGGAACCAUCAUGUUAUUUAUUUAGCGUGGUGGGAAACCAGGACCGUUUACCUUGAAAAAACUUAGAGUGUUCAAAGCAGGCUUACGUCUGAAUACAUUAGCAUGGAAUAAUAAAAUAGGACGGUGGUCCUGUUUUGUUGGUUUCUGAAUCACCGUAAUGAUUAAUAGGGAUAGUUGGG